CGGACGGGUGAGUAACGCGUGGGGAACCUGCCCUGUACCGGGGGAUAGCAGCCGGAAACGGCUGAUAAUACCGCAUAAGCGCACGAAUGUCGCAUGACAUGGUGUGAAAAACUCCGGUGGUAUAGGAUGGACCCGCGUCUGAUUAGCCUGUUGGUGGGGUAAAAGCCUACCAAAGCGAAGAUCAGUAGCCGAGUUGAGAGACUGACCGGCCACAUUGGGACUGAGACACGGCCCAGACUCCUACGGGAGGCAGCAGCU
rnacentral:rRNA from 1 species